AAACGUAGGAAUCGAGCGUUAUCCGAAUUUACUGGGCGUAAAGCGCUUGCAGGCGGGCUAUCAAGUUGGAUGUAAAAGCUCCUGGCUCAACUAGGAGAGGACGUACAAAACUGAUAGUCUAGAGGGCGAUAGAGGGAGGUGGAAUUCCCGGUGUAGUGGUGAAAUGCGUAGAUAUCGGGAGGAACACCAGAGGCGAAGGCGGCCUCCUGGGUCGUACCUGACGCUAAGGAGCGAAAGCUAGGGGAGCGAACGGGAUUAGAAACCCGGGUAGUCC
rnacentral:rRNA from 1 species